AUGCGGCUCUUCGACGGGGUCUUCUCCUUCACGGUCGACCUCACCUGCAUCAACCGGGCGCAUAUUGUGCUGCUGCCAAAAGGCGAUGGUGUCCUCACACCUAGCGGAUUCCGGUCGGUCUCGUUGCAAAAUUGUGACAUAAAGCUGGUCUGCAAGGCGUUGACCACCCGUCUACAACAGCAAAUCCCGGGGAUCAUCAACGUCGACCAGUCCGGCUUUAUCAAAGGCCGGAGCAUCUCCAAAAACUUUGUCUCUGCCGCCGAGGUGGUCCAGUGCUGUGACCGGAGGAAAGCUCCGUCUCUCGUCCUGAAGCUCGACUUCGCAAAGGCGUUCAACUCCAUCAAUUGGCAGAGCCUCCGUAGGAUCAUGGAGGUGCGUGGCUUUCAUGCCCGGUGGUGCGACUGGAUGGAUGCCAUUUUUCACUCCUCCAUGUCCGCGGUCCUCCUGAACGGGGUGCCGGGGCGCUGGAUCUCUUGCAAGAAGGGGCUGCGCCAAGGGGAGCCCAUCUCUCCCUACCUCUUCCUGCUGGUGGCCGACGUGCUGCAAAGGAUGAUCAAGCUGGAUGGGGGGAUGGCUCACCCCCUGGUGGCUGGUGCUCCGCCCCUCGUUCUGUAG
rnacentral:rRNA from 1 species